rnacentral:rRNA from 1 species
AGGGGGUAUAUAGUGCUUGCACUAUAGAGACCGGGCGCACCGGGUGCGUAACGCGUAUGCAAUCUACCUUAUACAGGGGGAAUAGCCCAGGGAAACUUGGAUUAAUGCCCCAUAGUAUCAUUAGGUAGCAUUACUUGAUGAUUAAAGAUUUAUCGGUAUAAGAUGAGCAUGCGUCCCAUUAGUUAGUUGGUAAGGUAACGGCUUACCAAGACAGCGAUGGGUAGGGGCCCCUGAGAGGGGGGAUCCCCCCACACUGGUACUGAGACACGGACCAGACUCC